UACGGGGGGAGCAAGCGUUGUUCGGAUUUACUGGGCGUAAAGGACGCGUAGGCGGUCAGCACAAGUCAGUUGUGAAAUCUCCGGGCUUAACUCGGAAAGGUCAACUGAUACUGUGCGACUAGAGUGCGGAAGGGGCAACUGGAAUUCUCGGUGUAGCGGUGAAAUGCGUAGAUAUCGAGAGGAACACCUGCGGCGAAGGCGGGUUGCUGGGCCGACACUGACGCUGAUGCGCGAAAGCCAGGGGAGCGAACGGG
rnacentral:rRNA from 1 species